rnacentral:rRNA from 1 species
ACCCGCUGAACUUAAGCAUAUCAAUAAGCGGAGGAAAAGAAACCAACAGGGAUUGCCUUAGUAACGGCGAGUGAAGCGGCAACAGCUCAAAUUUGAAAUCUGGCCUCUUUGGGGUCCGAGUUGUAAUUUGCAGAGGGCGCUUUGGCGUUGGCAGCGGUCCAAGUUCCUUGGAACAGGACGUCACAGAGGGUGAGAAUCCCGUACGUGGUCGCUAGCCUUCGCCGUGUAAAGCCCCUUCGACGAGUUGAGUUGUUUGGGAAUGCAGCUCUAAAUGGGAGGUAAAUUUCUUCUAAAGCUAAAUACUGGCCAGAGACCGAUAGCGCACAAGUAGAGUGAUCGAAAGAUGAAAAGCACUUUGGAAAGAGAGUCAAACAGCACGUGAAAUUGUUGAAAGGGAAGCGCUUGCAGCCAGACUUGCCUGUAGUUGCUCAUCCGGGCUUUUGCCCGGUGCACUCUUCUGCGGGCAGGCCAGCAUCAGUUUGGGCGGUUGGAUAAAGGUCUCUGUCAUGUACCUCUCUUCGGGGAGGCCUUAUAGGGGAGACGACAUGCAACCAGCCCAGACUGAGGUCCGCGCAUUUGCUAGGAUGCUGGCGUAAUGGCUGU